rnacentral:lncRNA from 12 species
AUGCUUUCUCUUCUUAAACUUAGAUCCCAGUUUUGGUUUUUAUCGGUUAUUUCGGGACCUCAUCCUGGCCCUUUGCCUCCUCCUGCCCUUGCCCCUGCCCUCCUGGCAACGGGGACACGUGCGUCCCAGGCCCCCAAGCGCCCGCCUGUCCCGCCCAGCCCGGCACCGGCCCUUCACUUCCAGCGGUGGGGUGGGUGCGCAGAGCGUCCCUGGGGUGAGGAGCCCUCGCCGAGUGUCCGAUGCGUGGGGAGCCGGGCGCACCCGUCGCACGUUCCGACCACCUGGCCCCGUGUGUCAGUACCUCGCAUCUGUUUCUGUAGUGGAGGCACCCCCUCAGCCCCCCAAAGCCUUCUGUCCCCGUCUCCUCGUGGCCACCAGGCGGCAGCCCUCCACGGGGCCGCACCCCUGCCCCCCGGUGCCAGGGGAGGGCUGCCCUGCAGCCCACGGGGCUCUUGGAUGCUCCUUAAAGGAUCGCCGCCGUCAGGCCUCCCUCCUGGAGGUGCUUGCAGACCGUCCGCUCGGAGCUCGCUGGCGUCUAGAGGUUUUAAGGUUUUGCUUCUACAGUUGGUCCGUGGAGGGCUCUCAGCUCCCCGGUGGGCAGGAGAGGUGGUGAGCCUCUCCGGGUUGUGCCGCCCUCUUUCCCAAGUGGGCACCGGGGUCCAGGGUGGGGGCAGGCGGGCGUCCCCCCGGGUGCCCUGGGGCACUGCUCCCCGCAGCUCCCCCCACCAGGGGGUGUCUCUCCACAUCCUGACUUGGGCCACAGCCCCAGCGGGGAGCUGCAUGUUCUGCGGAUGGAGGCAUGGGGCUGGGGCCGCCGGGCGGGUGGCAGGAGGGCCCUGGGGGGACCCCCGGCUCCCGGGGCGCAGCUUGCCCGCCUGCGCUGGACUUCCUCCUAAGACUGCCCGUGUGCUGUUCUCCCGUCACACUCUGCGCGGCCUGCUCAGCGAGGGGGGAAACGCGGGUGUCGGGGUGUCAGCUCUGGCGCCCGAGGCCCACAUUCCAGAGAGAGGCAGCUUGAAUUUUCCAGGAAAAGAAAUGGAGAGAAGAGGCAUGGGAAGAAGAUAA